rnacentral:rRNA from 1 species
GGCGAGGGGUCCAAGCGUUGUUCGGAAUUACUGGGCGUAAAGCGCGCGUAGGCGGCUAUUCAAGUCAGGGGUGAAAUCCUUGGGCUCAACCCAAGAAUUGCCUUUGAAACUGAAUAGCUAGAGUGUCGGAGGGGAUAGCGGAAUUCCUAAUGUAGAGGUGAAAUUCGUAGAUAUUAGGAGGAACACCGGUGGCGAAGGCGGCUAUCUGGACGACAACUGACGCUGAGGCGCGAAAGCACGGGGAUCAAACAGG